rnacentral:rRNA from 1 species
AGCAGCCGCGGUAAUUCCAGCUCCAAUAGCGUAUAUUAAAGUUGUUGCAGUUAAAAAGCUCGUAGUUGAAUUUCGGGAUCAAUACGUCGGUCGUGCCUCUGGUAUGUACUGGUGUUAUUGAUUUCUCCCUUCUGAUGAACCAUGAUGUCAUUAAUUUGGUGUUGUGUGGAGUCAGGACUGUUACUUUGAAAAAUUAGAGUGUUUAAAGCAGGCUCACGCUUGAAUACAUUAGCAUGGAAUAAUGAAAUAGGACGUUCGAUUCUAUUUUGUUGGUUUCUAGGAUCAACGUAAUGAUUAAUAGUGAUAGUUGGGGGCAUUAGUAUUCAAUUGUCAGAGGUGAAAUUCUUGGAUUUAUUGAAGACUAACUACUGCGAAAGCAUUUGCCAAGGAUGUUUUCAUUAAUCAAGAACGAAAGUUAGGGGAUCGAAGACGAUCAGAUACCGUCGUAGUCUUAACCAUAAACUAUGCCGACUAGGGAUCGGAUGAUGUUAAUUUUUAAUGUACUC